rnacentral:rRNA from 1 species
GAUGAACGCUGGCUACAGGCUUAACACAUGCAAGUCGAGGGGAAACGACGGGGAAGCUUGCUUCCCCGGGCGUCGACCGGCGCACGGGUGAGUAACGCGUAUCCAACCUGCCUCUGACUGAGGGAUAACCCGUCGAAAGUCGGCCUAAUACCUCAUGGCAUCGUCUGCGGGCAUCCAACGACGAUUAAAGAUUUCAUCGGUCAGAGAUGGGGAUGCGUCUGAUUAGCUUGUUGGCGGGGUAACGGCCCACCAAGGCGACGAUCAGUAGGGGUUCUGAGAGGAAGGUCCCCCACAUUGGAACUGGGACACGGUCCAAACUCCUACGGGAGGCAGCAGUGAGGAAUAUUGGUCAAUGGGCGAGAGCCUGAACCAGCCAAGUAGCGUGCAGGAUGACGGCCCUAUGGGUUGUAAACUGCUUUUAUGCGGGGAUAAAGUGAGGGACGUGUCCUUCAUUGCAGGUACCGCAUGAAUAAGGACCGGCUAAUUCCGUG